rnacentral:rRNA from 1 species
UACGAAGGGGGCUAGCGUUGUUCGGAUUUACUGGGCGUAAAGCGCACGUAGGCGGAUCGAUCAGUCAGGGGUGAAAUCCCAGAGCUCAACUCUGGAACUGCCUUUGAUACUGUCGAUCUGGAGUAUGGAAGAGGUGAGUGGAAUUCCGGGUGUAGAGGUGAAAUUCGUAGAUAUUCGCAAGAACACCAGUGGCGAAGGCGGCUCACUGGCCCGGAACUGACGCUGAGACGCGAAAGCGUGGGGAGCAAACAGG